AGAGUUUGAUCAUGGCUCAGGACGAACGCUGGCGGCGUGCCUAACACAUGCAAGUCGAACGGGGAAUAGCAAUAUUCCUAGUGGCGAACGGGUGAGUAACGCGUAGACAACCUGCCUUCUAGACGGGGACAACGUUCCGAAAGGGGCGCUAAUACCGGAUGAGGUGUUUUGUGUGCAUACAUAAGACAAGAAAGGUGGCCUCUAUAUAUAAGCUACCGCUAGAAGAUGGGUCUGCGUCUGAUUAGCUAGUUGGCGGGGUAACGGCCCACCAAGGCGACGAUCAGUAGCCGGUCUGAGAGGAUGAACGGCCACACUGGGACUGAGACACGGCCCAGACUCCUACGGGAGGCAGCAGUGGGGAAUCUUCCGCAAUGGACGAAAGUCUGACGGAGCAACGCCGCGUGAGAGAAGAAGGUUUUCGGAUUGUAAAUCUCUGUCUUCUGGGAAGAAUGGUCUUUAUGUAAAUAAUGUAGAGACAUGACGGUACUAGAGGAGGAAGCCACGGCUAACUACGUGCCAGCCGCCGCGGUAAUAC
rnacentral:rRNA from 1 species